UACGUAGGUGACCAGCGUUGUCCGGAUUUACUGGGCGUAAAGCGUGCGCAGGCGGUUGUGCAAGACAGAUGUGAAAUCCCCGGGCUCAACCUGGGAACUGCAUUUGUGACUGCACGGCUGGAGUGCGGCAGAGGGGGAUGGAAUUCCGCGUGUAGCAGUGAAAUGCGUAGAUAUGCGGAGGAACACCGAUGGCGAAGGCAAUCCCCUGGGCCUGCACUGACGCUCAUGCACGAAAGCGUGGGGAGCAAACAGG
rnacentral:rRNA from 1 species